UGGUGGAGUGAUUUGUCUGGUUAAUUCCGUUAACGAACGAGACUUUGACCUGCUAAAUAGACAUCGCAGCUUUCUGCUGUGACUGUGCUUCUUAGAGGGACUUUGUGUGUUUAACACAAGGAAGAUCAAGGCAAUAACA
rnacentral:rRNA from 1 species